GAAGAAAUCUUGCGUUCAAGAGAGCCCCCAACCAUACACAAGCUUUGCAUCCAAUAGCCCACCCACCAGCUGCGAAAUCUCCUCCAAACAACAACUGAACCGGACAAAGAAAGAAGGCCAAAAAGGGAGUCUCCUUUCCAAGUUCAAAAUUCGAAACGUCCCAAGAGAAACCGAAACCACCAUAAAAACCAGCAACCAACCGUCAUCGCCGCACAAGCGCACGCACUCCUCGCCGUGGACCAACUCCGAAGCCCCAUCCCGUCCCAACUCCCAAGAGCCGAACGCGAGCGGCGGCCGCCAUGGCGCGGUGCAGCAACGGCCUCCUGGGUCUCCUCAACGCGGGCGUGCUGGUCCUCGCCAUCGUCGCGCUGGGGGGCGGCGCCUGGCUCAGCCACCGCGCGUCCACCACCGACUGCGAGCGGUUCCUCGAGCGGCCCGUCAUCGCGCUGGGCGUGCUCCUCCUCGCGCUCUCCCUCGCGGGCCUGGCCGGCGCGCUCUGCCGUGCCUCCUGCCUCCUCUGGCUCUACCUCCUCGCGCUCUUCCUCCUCAUCCUGCUCCUCUUCGCAUUCACCGUCUUCGCGUUCGUCGUCACCAACCGCGGCGCCGGGUGGGUCGUCUCCGGCAGGGGGUACAAGGAGUACCGCCUCGGGGACUACUCCACCUGGCUGCAAAGGAGGGUGGAGAACUCGCAGAACUGGGCCAAGAUCCGCAGCUGCCUCCAGGACGGCAAGGUCUGCCAGAAGCUUGCGUCCAGAAAGGAGACGGCCGCCCAGUUCGUCAACAGCAACCUCUCCCCGAUCCAGCUAAUGAACCUAUCUCAUGUCCAGUCUGGAUGCUGCAAGCCACCAACGGGUUGCAACUUCACCUACCAGAGCGAAACUGUCUGGACCAAGCCCGCUGGUUUCAACACCACAACUGACGACCCUGACUGCACCACAUGGUCGAACGACCAGACCGUGCUCUGCUACGACUGCAUGGCCUGCAAGGCAGGCGUGCUGGCCAACCUGAAGAACGACUGGAAGAAGAUCGCCACCGUCAACAUCGUCUUCCUGAUCUUCCUCGUCGUCGUCUACUCCGUCGGGUGCUGCGCGUUCAGGAACAACCGGCAGGACAACUCGUACCCGGCCUGGAAAUGAGGUGCGCGUGGCAAUGUAUAGGUUGUUUAUGCUAUCAUGCUAUGUGAGUGACUGCGUUUCGGUGAGGAGGGGUUCGCUCCUUGGUGUCUAGCAACCUACCGUAUGUAUUAACUAUUAAUGUGUCCGGUUCAUGUCACUGGUCGAUGCUGUUUUGCCCUCGAACGCAUGAUGAUAGUGUCCCAAGGCUAUUAUCCAGAUAUAUGCCGAAAAAAAAUAUGCGUUUUCUGUGGGCGUGUAUCUUGUUGAAUUUUGACGCUUCUGUUCGGAUGUGCACCACUAAACAAAUGACGGGAAGAAAUAUUGCAAAAUUUGG
rnacentral:misc_RNA from 1 species